AGACCCAAGUGCUGGGUAAAAAGUUCAGAUUCAGCAUUAAAGGUGCUGCGUCUGAGUGAAGGCAUGCUGUCUAAAAUGCAGUAGCUGAGGCCUAGAGUUAAAGUAGGAAGUCCAGUAGAGUCAAAUAGUCUUUGCAAAGACAGCCAGCUGUUUGUCCAAACUACUUGUCCAGGAGGGAUAUGAUCCUGUUUUUGAUAAUAGAGAAGUCCAGAAAACAGGUAGGUCGUACUGGAUGUGAAUUAACACCAAACUGUGCCGUGGCAAUACUUAGUUCACAUAUUCAUUAACAUUUACAGAUGUAGCGAGGAUUCUAUUCUAAUAGUGGCUCCUAUGUCUCUUAGACAGAAAUAAAGCAAACAGAAGGCAACCAAAAUACAAAAUUACUGUCAAGGGCAAGCAAAGGAAAUUAUGUAUACUUAAUCUCUUGUAGUCACAGCAGUUAUUUCCACAAUGUUAUGGCUUGGCUAUUUUUCUUUUUUCCAUUCAAUGUUUGUCUUUCAUGCUUUUCGGGCAAGGGCAAUUUGUAUCAUUAUCUACGUAAUCCUCCUCACAAAAGCAUCCCUCAUUUCAACAUUCUGUGGGUGGUGACAGUGCAUAAACAAAUUAUGGCUAUUUCCAUGACAUUACUGUGUGGGUAGCACUUGCUACUGUAGAAUUUUUAGAAUCUUUCCAAGCACAGAAGAAACGAUUUGUAAGAUGCUAGCUCAGACAUUUGGUGAUUUUUAGCAGGCAUGACUAUUACUCCUAGUACCUAUAAACUAUGGAUGAAUUUCAUGUCUACCAUAUUGCUUACUGUUGAUAAUUAAUUGUCAAUAAUCAAUAACCAAUUAAUUGAUAAAAUUAACUGUGAUUAUAUGUUUAGUGAGAGGGUGUAGUGGGGUUUACAAACCCCACACUGAGCCUAGGCAGAAGGGAGAGGAUAGUCUUCCCUGCUUACACGCAAUCAGACUGACCACACCCCCUCAGAACUGCCACUUUUGGAGACAUGCACCCACAGGUGAGGCCAAUAAAGAAAACAAGCCCAGCUAUAAAGGAGGGAAAGGGAAAGGGAGAUAGAAACAUCUGGGAUAACAGAGGGGCAAUGGCCUUAUGUCAGGAUGUGUCUAAGAAACUGUCAAGGAAAUAAAAGAUGACUGCAAGUCCUGGAAGUUAAGGGCUGAUGGACUCAAUCUAGGUUAAGAGUUUAUGGACUGGUCUAACUGUAAGUGAAUGGAAAGGGACCAGUUAGGAGAAAGCUGGAACCCCUAGAGAGACUGCACCAAGAGCAACUGAUAGAGAGGUUUUCUUUAGUGUGGAUUUGUUUAAUAACAACAAACUGUGACUAAGUCAGCUUUGUUUGGGUUUAACUUAGCCAAGACAGCACAUACACAGAGAGGCAUACAGUUAUUACAUUACUAAGACAUUUCCUACAGCUCACAAUAUGCUAGAGGUCACUGCUUGGUAAAAUUCCACUCUUUAAAAUUAGCUACAUUUAUCCUUCAUCCUUCUUCACUCCAUCCAUAUCCCCUUGCAUUUUUGGGGGUGGGAGUAAUGGAGUGUCCACUCCACACAAGACAGAGCAGGCCAAGUGAUCUUAAUUAAUCUGAUUGGCUGCACCUGAGGGAGAUCGGGGUUUGAAGAAUUGAUACAUAACGGAGCCCAGCUGAGAAGGAACAGCAGGGGCUGGUAUAAAGCCAGGAAAUUGGCAGAAGAAAGGAGCUGAAGGGGAAGCAGGCUGUAGUCACUCUCUGGGAUUAGGGAGGUGUGUUUGAGGCUACGGAGUUCAGUAGUCUGCAGUUACUCCCUGGGAGGAGGUAAUUUGAGCUGGUACACCCAGAAUGGGGGAGCCAGAAGUUGUAGAAAGGAGUUCAAGGAAAGAGCACCAGGGUCUGAGGGAAAGCACACCAGAUAAGGGGUCCCUAGACUGGAGUAGUGGGUGGGCCUGGGUUCCACUACCAAUUGCUGGGAAAGCAGCACUGGAGCCGGCCUUGGACUGCAAGGCUGACUGGAAUGGUAAGUGGGCUGCUGAUGCAGUGGGACUUUGAUACCCCGGGAGGGGAAGACUGUACCAUGAUCUAGCCAGAGGUCUGAGUCAUGACGAAGGAAUACCCGAAGUCCAAGAGCGAGAGAGACACACAGGGCAAAGAAAUCAGCAUUGGACCUGAAUGGAGCUAAUCCCCAGAGCAAUCAGGAGGCGGCACACCAACAGUUGUCUGAAAAGUAACAAUCUUUGAUGUAGAGAAAGAGGAGCCUCCUUGCCACCAGCAGAAGAGAGAAUUUCUGGCAUGAAAAGAUCUUAAGGGAGCCUCUCUGCAGAGGAGGGCAAGUAAAUGGAAAAGAGACCCUCCCACAGAUGUCGUGGUUUACCAGAAACCCACAUGGCACUUCUCACUGUCCGCCAUCUCUGUCGUAAACAUGGAGCCCACACUACUGCAUGGAGCUCUGCUCUACUGUCACGAGGGCUGCAAACACAGGAUGAAAAAUCCUCCAGUAUUUUCAGAGCUGCAGGAAGAACCACAACAAGAGGGGACAUGGUGGUUUUUGUGGAGAACAGAUUGCUGUGUAACACAGCAAAAAACGAUUCCAGGUUUUCAUCUGUUUUUAUUAAAACUAUUUGUUUUAAAAGCUGUUUUGCUUCCAAUUUGAUCUGCAAAUUCUUCUUUCCCUAUCCUGCUGCCUUCUGCUCUGUUGCAGGAACAAUUCAUUAAGAUGAAGAGCAUUCUGCUGGGUCCGCAUCUUCAGUAAGUAUUUCUGCAGCAGUUUAGUAAUGAUCUUAAUGUUCAUGGUUGUAUUUUUACAGCCAUCUCAACUGGCUAUUAAAAGGCAGCACUGCACUUUGAAAAUUGCUACUGCACCACUUCAGAAAUACUUACAAUGAUGAGGAUGCAGAGCGUGCUGUAAUUUCAGUAGAGACCUCAUGCUUCACGAAUGACUUAUAAAAAAGGAUGGUUAUAAUUUAUUAUUAGAGUAGAUGCCACUUUAAAUUAUUAUUCCAGGAAGUUAAUAACUGGGGGAGAAUUAUUAAGAAUUAGGUGACUUUUUAAAAAUAUUACCAAAAAUCAGACUUUGCUGCACAGUUUUCUCAUCAUUAGUAUAUAAGUAUUGUAAUGACCAGUAUAGACAGCACCGCCAUCAACAGGGGGUGUUAUAUCUUUAUCUUAGUGAUAACUUGUUGUCUUGCAUGUUAUGUUGGGAGGAGGGUGAAUUACUAAGAAAUUAAGUCCUGCCUUUGGUGCUGGAGUUGUUACUUGCAAUUGUCCCAAUAAAUAAUUUGAAUUCUAUGUCAGUA